GACGUAGGGCGCGAGCGUUGUCCGGAUUGAUUGGGCGUAAAGAGCUCGUAGGCGGCUCGUUGCGUCGGCUGUGAAAACCCGCAGCUCAACUGUGGGCCUGCAGCUGAUACGGGCGGGCUGGAGUUCGGUAGGGGAGACUGGAAUUCCUGGUGUAGCGGUGAAAUGCGCAGAUAUCAGGAGGAACACCGGUGGCGAAGGCGGCCCUCUGGACCGGUACUGACGCUGAUGCGCGAAAGCGUGGGGAGCAAACGGG
rnacentral:rRNA from 1 species